rnacentral:lncRNA from 1 species
UCCAAGAACUUCCCACCUUUCUCUUGGAGAGACUCGAACUCACAACCUCUCGGUUGGAAGUGGGGUUGCUUACCAUCAGAGCAACCCCUCUUGCCAAGACCAUUAUCAACUUAAAUCAACAACUUCCCAAGAUGAUUCACAUGCUCCCUGACCAACCCUUCGUCAUUGCCAACCAUUCCAACAAUCUGUGCGUUGUCAUAUACUUGUAGAGGAUUACAUGUGAUACUUGGGGUAUUACUGCCUUAGACCAUAAUUAUUCCUUCUUGAAUCAUUCUCUCUAUCUCCCUUUUCAAAGCACGAAAAUCUUCAGCAUUGUGCCCCUGGGCAUUGAAAUGGUAUUCACACCUUUUAGCAAGGCCAACAGAGAUGACUUAAAUCAGUUUGUGGAAAUUCCACAUAGAAAUAGAAGAAAAACAAAUAAAAUUAAUGAAUAAAGAAAGAGCUCAACAUUCAAUACAUAUUCACAGGGAAAGUCUCGCUCAUUUCCUUGUGGCAACAGAAAACCAUGAGUUUAACAAACUUAACCACUUCCCAAAAAUUAAUCAUUCAAUGAACUGAACAAUCAAACUCAUAUGGAAUAAUAAGAGAAAUUCAAUCCAUUUUUCACAUAUUACCCACAUCAAAGUCAUUUAUUCACAUGCUUAAGAAUUGAUUGGAGAAUAUAGUGGAAAAAAAACCUUAAUUGCAGAGAAGAAAACUGGAUCAAAGCAAAAGAAGACCGACGAAUCGCAGCUGUGAGCGAGAACCUCGAAUUGAUUUUGAACUUUUCGGGAAAAACUUGAAUCUAGACAAUGAGGAAGACCAAGUUGCUGUGUUUAUGGAGUUUGAAGGCUGAUUUCAUUUUUCACAGAAGGAGUCGCUUAUGUUGUUAAGGAGGUGAGGUUGAGGAUGACGUGUCUAGAGUGGAGGAGUUGGUUUCGCGACCAUCUUGGUGUUGAUUUUGGGUGGAGAAGGGGCAUCGAUUUGGACAGUUUGCAGCUGAUUUUCGCUGCUCUUUCUAACUAUUUUCACAACUUGUUUAGAUGCCACUUUAAUGUGAAUUUUGAGGUAUUUUAUAGGGUGUUUUGGCGUGUUCUAAGAGCUAGUUUGUGAGAAGAAGUAGGAUGGGUUGAAGAAGAAGAGCAAUUGAGAGGCUAUUCUCUUUAGCUAUCAAGUUUUGUGCUGCUUCGUUUCUUUUUUUUUUUUAGCUACUAGGUCUCUCAUUUUCUUUUGAUCCCUUUUCUCCUGAUCUUUCUGCUUUUCGUUUCUUUCCGUCUCCCGCCGCUCUCAUCCUCACCCUCCCCAAAUAUGUUUUUUUGUUCUCCUUUUAACCUGUCUAUUUUUCCCUUUUUGUUGUUUUUUCUGCCAAGCCCCUUUUCUGUUCCACCCUGUCUUUUGUUCCCCCAUGCCCUCUAUAUAUUAGCAUGUGUGACUUUUGUGUGUAUUUAUCAAUUUAUUAGGAAGAAAGUUAAGAGAAAAAAUCUACCCAAAAUCCCGUGUGAUUCCCCGUAUAGAAAGAAUAUUCUGUUGUAACUGAACCAAAAGGAAUGUGCCCUCAUAUGCAGGUGGGCCCCAAGGUAAAAUGUGUUAAUAAAGAUAAGGUUCAAGAAAGUGAAACGAAAGGAAUUAUUAAAAAUAAAAAUAAACAUAUGAAAAUGUGGUGUGGGGUAGUGUGCCGGUGAACCUUGAGUGAGAGCAUGUGAGGUUAGUUAGAAAAGAAUCUUUCCCAAGUGGUAUUUUGAAUUAUUUUUUUUGUAGUAUUUUAUUUUCUUGAUAACAAAUAAAUAAAAAUAAAAUCUACUCCUAUUAUAUAAAAAAUAGCAAGAUAAAAUUAUUAUAUGCUCAAUCUUUAUUUGUUAAACUAAGCUAAAUAAAAUUAUAUCCUUUUUUUGUUGAAAAUUUUCUUUCUUUGUUAAAUGAAAAUAAAACUGAUACUCUAAAAAUAUGUAAAUCUUUUUUUAAUUUUUAGUUUUGUGACGAAAUAAUGUAAAAGAAUCAAAAUUAGUUGGAAUAAUUAUAUUAGGCCUAAAUUAAGUAUUUAAAUGCUAAAACAUGUAAAAUCUCACGGAGGGUCAAAAAUCACAUGUCUACAACUGCCCCUCUUUGACUGGAAACACGAAGAGUUUUUAGACAAAGAACGACUGGAUAGGUUUUUGACCUGACCCUUAUUUAGAGAGACCAAAAGCUAAGAGGGGGAGAAUGUGAUUGAGCCCUGGUAUCUGAGCUGCCUACAUAUCCUUGACUAUACAGGAAUCAUGCCACGUGCAGUUCAGAAGUGAAUGAGGUGAUGGAGUGUAUUAAGAGGAUGAGAGAGUCGAGUGAGGUUCCGUCCGAGGGUCCAGUCCGUGGUCCUGUUAUUAUAUCAAAAUAAAAAUUGAAAACACUAACUAAGUCUAUCAGCUACGAGUUACAAGAUUCCUAUCUAUGAGUCUUCAAACUUGGUCUUGUAUUUCUUAUUGCCUUGUUUUCUUGUAUUCUUCCGGUGGGAUCCAUUUGUUGCCGCCUUGAGUUAUAAACUGAGAUGUUUUCCCUUUCUUCGGGUGGAUGGCCUGAUUGGUGAAAUUGAAAGUAUUCCCAUUCUCUCCAGGUGGACUCCUGACUACUAAACUUGAAUGUAUUCCUCUGUUAUACGGGUAAGCUCCAAACUUCAAAACUUGAAUGUAUUCCUCUGUUAUACGGGCGGGCUCCCAACUUCAAAAAUUGAAUAUAUUCCUCUAUUAUUCAAAACUUUAAUGUAUUCCUUUGUUAUAUGGGCAGGCUCCCGACUUCAAAACUUAAAUGUAUUCCUCUGUUAUACGGGCAGGCUCUCGACUUCAAACUUGAAUGUAUUCCUCUAUUCUCCAGGUUAGCUCCUGACCUCAACAAAAUAGACAAAACAAAGAAAACUUUCUGCCCCAGUUUGGUGGCUGGGCAUCACAUUACCGGAUAUUGAUAAUAAUUCGAAAACUAAAACUUAAAUUGUAAUACCUCUGUUCUUCAGAUGGACUCCUGACUUCUAAAACUUGAAAUAUAUUCCUCUGUUAUUCGGGCGGGCUCCCAACUUCAAAACUUGAAUGUAUUCCUCUGUUAUACGGGCGGGCUCCCUAUUUCAAAAACUUGAAUGUAUUCCUCUGUUAUAUCGGUGGGCUCCCGACUUCAAACUUGAAUGUAUUUCUCUGUUCUCCAGACGAUCUCCCGACUUCAAAACUUGAAAAUGUAUGCCUCUGUUAUAUGGGCGGGCUCCCGACUUCAAAACAUGAAAUGUAUGCCUCAGUUAUACGGGCGGGCUCCCGGCUUUAAAACUUGAAAUGUAUGCCUCUGUUAUACGGGCGGGCUCCCGACUUCAAAACUUGACAAUGUAUGCCUCUAUUAUACAGGCGUACUCCCGACUUUAAAACUUAAAAAUGUGUCCCUCUGUUAUACGGGUGGACUCUAGACUUCAAAACUUGAAAAUGUAUGCCUCUGUUAUACGGGUGGGCUCCCGAAUUCAAAACUUGAAAAUGUAUGCCUCUGUUCUCCAGGCGGGCUCCUGACUACUGAAACUUGAAUUAUAUGCCUAUGUUCUCCAGGCGGGCUCCUAACUUCAAUAAAAUAGACAAAACAAAGAAAAUUUUCUGCCCCAGUUUGGAAGCUGGGUACAUGGGUGAGUAUUAACUGAAUCAUUAUGCCAACUAUUACUAAGAGUUUGAAAGCUAAGUCCUAUUAUCCAAGGAGGUCCUGACAACUUCUAACAAUUGCGAACCUAAAAUAUAUCCUGUAAAGGUGUUACUCCCACUACAUUUGUUGUCUAAAGGGUCUUAAGCUACUCCCCAUUAUCCAGGAGGGUCCUGACAACUUCUAAUUAAAAGAUAAAUUUACCCUAAGCUAUAUCUACUGAAGGUACGACUUCCACAGUAUCUUGCUAUCUAAGCGAACCUUAGAACUACGUCCCGUUAUCCAGGAGGGUCCUAAAAAUUCCUAAUUGAAUCCUAUCUUAAACAUGCAAACUUUGGAACCAACUUGCAUUCCUUUGGAGUACAUUUAUACUAAAUUAUGCUACUCGUGAUUGUUUUAAAAUUUAAACUAAGUCUCAUUUUCCAGGAGGGUCCUGAAAGUUUAAGGUCAAACCUAUUUAUGUGCUUGCUUUUUCCCAUACGAGAGUUUCUUCGGAACAAACGAAUUUUGCUGCCCCUGUUUCAAUAAAAAAAAAUCUUAUCAGUUUAAAAUGUGGUGGUUGGUUUGUGGCCCUGAACUUUGAGGAGGAUUGCUCCUUCACUUCCCACGAUGACUGAUUUCCACUUGAAGACCUUGCUUGUUCAUGGACUAAUGCCCUUUCUCUGCCGUCCUCAUCACAUAAAAUACCUUUUCUCUAUUUUGGCCCAAUAUAUUUUAUUUGUUGCAUUGCAUGAACUGGCACCUCCCCAACCUUCACGUCUCACAUGAAUCCCAAAGCACGUCAAUUGCCCCUACUCCAUUAUAUGUUGUUUUUUGACUUAACCACUGGCGUUGGCUUGUUGCUCCUUUACUUGUCAUGAUAACUGACCUUGCUCGUUUCUUGACUAACCACUUCCUUUUUCACCCUUAACACAUAACAUACAUCUUCUCCAUUCAAACCCUAUUCCUUCUAUUUGUUUCAUUACUCCUGAACUGACCUUUACCAACCUUUGUGUCUCAUGUUAACCCCAAAUCACGACAUUUGUCACCCCAUCAUUGUGUAUGAUGUUCUUUCUAAACCACUGGUCCUGUCCUUGAGGUCUACGACUCCCUUAUUUGCCAUGAUAACUUUGAUUUCUGCUUGGAAGAUCUUGCUCGUUACUAAUUUAUCACCCUUUUGUCAAUCUCAUCACAUGAAAUACCUAUGAUUUGUUCACCCUAACCCUUCAUCCGUUGCAUUGUUUUUGAAUUUCGAUAUACCAAGCCUUUGUAUUUCAUAAGGAUCACAAAGCAUGUUGACUGUUACUAGCUCAGUCUGCUUGCUAUUCUUUCCCGACUUAUGACGCUUUGAUGUGCUAGCCAAAUCAUGUUUUGUUCAACUGGAAAUAUGGUGGCAAAUUUGGAAGUCAUUUCUCACUUGUUACCAAACAGACUAGGGAAGAGGAAGUAAACAAGAUAAAGGAAACAGAGUAAAUGACAAUGGGAAGAGAUGACUCCUAACAAGAAACUACAGAGUAAAAAUCUGUCAGAUGUGGAUACCAACUCUAAUGACCAUGACAUGCACUUGUAGCCUAUUCUAUUAAGAAAAUUUGGUGUUCAACUCCAGUUAUACCCACAAACGGUGAAACUGGCUUCAAUGCUUUGCUUAUCCAAUCUGAUUCACAAUCCUUAUUCGACUUGUAGUGACCAAAGGGUUUUCACCAUCAAGACUCUCUUAUUUUGGUCUUUCUCUCAACUUAGCGUCGCCUUAUGGUGCCCGUGAAAGUUUUCACCAAUAAGACUCUCAUUUUUAUUUCUCUCAGCUUUCAUCGCCUUGCGGUACCUGUGGGGGUUUUCAUUGAUAAGACUCUUCCAUUUUUCAUUUACCUUGUUUGGACUGGACUGUUGCUCCUGAUAUUAUUCACCUCUACUCGCUUGACUUGACAUCUCUCGAAGACUGAUCGAAAGGUCUUUCUUUGAGCCGUAAUAUGGGCUUUAGGGUGGGGUUAGAAAGAAAGGGUAUCAAAAGGCUCAAAACAAUUCAAAUGGGUUCAAAAUUACAAAUUUCGGAAUCAAAUCUCUUGCACAACCACAACUUCUGCCCCAGUUUCUUUCUUGAGGACUUUGGAUUUUAUAUUUUGAUGGGACCGAACCGUGAGGAUGCAUACCUAUCCUUAAAAGGAAUCAAGUCGAACGUAGUUCUUGUCAUAGGAAUUACUUUGUUUGAUCUGAUAUUUCUUUUUUUUCUUCCUCUUUCUCUUCUUUUCUUUUCUUUCUUCAUUUUUCUCUUUUUGUUGUGUUUUUGUUUUUGUUUGUUUUUUCUUUUAUUUUCUUCUCUUUUUCUUUUUCUUUUUUUCCCUCUCUCUUUUCAUUCUUUUCUCUUCUCUUUUUUCUUUACUUAUCUUUUGCGCUUGUGUUUCUAAUCUUUGAUAACGAUUCCGAAAGAGGGAUAUGAAAGAAAAUAAAUAAUGCUCGAAGGGGUAACGAAGGAUAAGGUGUUUAGAUAGCAGAACAAAAUGCCUUCGUCAUUCUAAUCUUCAAAACAUACCAAGUACAAACAACACAAUUAAACAAACAUUCGUAACAUCUUCUGAUUGUGGCAGAACUGAUAAUCAUAUCCAUAGUUUUUUCUUCUUCAUCUGUUAAAUACAACUCACCAUUGGGUAAUACUCUCACUCUCAUUACCCUGAAAGAUCCCUGUCAAUUUGGCCAACUUGCUCUUUCGGUUUCUUUAUGUUUUACUUGCCCUAGUUUCACAUGGCUCGGGCUUCAAAUAAUCUCAAAAUGUCCAUAUCUGCUCUUAUUUUCAAAAAUGAUUUAAUUGCUUCCUGACUAAACUGACUUUUAAAUAUCAGACUGAGAAUUAUGCAUGCAUGUCAUGUCACUAGAACCAACACGAAACAAAAGGCAAAACAAAAUGAUAAAGAAUAACUAAAGAAGAUGACUGGAGGUAACAAAAGACCGGAAUUUGCAUUUGACAAACGAUGAAACAGUUUGCAUAACAAAACAAGGAAAACAAACUAGAGUACAACCCUAAAACAUACAUGGAAAACACUAGACAGAGCACUACGACUAAACAAGCUAGACAAAUUGAAAGGAUAAGAGGGUUUGAUCACAAGACAAUAUCCGGAUUACAACCCUGAAAAUAACCCGGACAACAGAAAUGACAACAAACUAAACCACCAAGCUCCUCUCUGGCUGACCAAAAAAAAAAGACAAAACAAAAGGGUAAAGAAUAACUAAACAUAGAAGUUGCCUGGAGGUAACAAAAGACCAAAAUUUGCAUUAGACAAACGGUGAAAAGGUUCGCAUAUCAAAACAAUCAAAAAAAACUGGAGUACAACCUUGGAACAGACUUAAAACAAACCUGGAUAAUUCUAGAAAGACCACUACGACUAAACAAGCCAGACAAAAUGAAAUGAUAAGAGGGUUUGUCCACAAGACAAUAUCCGGAUUACAACACUAAAAAUAACCCGGACAACGGAAAUGACAACAAAAUAAACUACCAAAAACUCCACUCCGACUGACCAAGAAAUGGAGUAUCUUCCCAAUUAACAAGUACAACAUCUUAAACACUAAGCUUCGCAUCAAUAUUUACAAGACCAUUAUCAACUUUAAUCAACAACUUUCCAAGAGGAUUCACAUACUACCUGACAAACCCUUCGUCAUUGCCAACCAUUCCAACAAUCUGUGCGUUGUCAUGUUCCUGUAGAGGAUUAUGUAUGACACUUGGGGUAUUUCUGCCUUGGACCACAAUUAUUCCUUCUUGAAUCAUUCUCUCUAUCUCCCUUUUCAAAGCACGAAAAUCUUCAGCAUUGUGCCCCUAGGCAUUGGAAUGGCAUUCACACCUUUUAGCAGGGCCAACAAAGAUGACUUAAAUCGGUUUGUGCAAAUUCCACGUAGAAAUACAAGGAAAAACAAAUAAAAUUAAUGAAUAAAUAAAGAGCUCACCAUUCAAUAUAUAUUCACAGGGAAGUCUCGCUCAUUUCCUUGUGGCAACAGAAAACCAUGCGUUUAACAAACUUAAGCACUUCCCAAAGAUUAAUCAUUCAAUGAACUGAACAAUCAAACUCAUAUGGAAUAAUAAGAGAAAUUCAAUCCACUUUUCACAUAUUACCCACAUCAAAGUCAGUUAUUCACAUGUUUAAGAAUUGAAUGGAGAAGAUAGUGGAAAACCAAACCUAAACUGCCAAGAAGAAAACUGUAUCAAAGCAAAAGAAGACCGACGAAUCAAAGCUGUGAGCGAGAACCUCGAAUUGAUUUUGAACUUUUCGGGAAAAACUCAAAUUUAGACAGUGAGGAAGACCAAGCUGCUGUGUUUAUAGAGUUUGAAGGCUGAUUGCAUUUUUCACAGAAGGAGUCGCUUGUGUUGUUAAGGAGGUGAGUUUGAGGAUGACUUCCAUAGAGUGGAGGAGUUGGUUUCGCGGCUAUUUGGUGUUGAUUUUGGUUGGAGAAGGGGCUGCGAUUUGGAUGAUUUUGCACCUAAUUUUCGUUGCUCUUCCUAACUGUUUUCACAGCUUGUUUAGCUGCCAUUUUAAUGUGAACUUUGAGGUAUUCUAUGGGGUGAUUUGGGGUGUUCUAAUAGCUAGUGUGCGAGGAUAAAGAAAUAGGAUGGGUUGAAGAAGAAGAGCAAUUGGGAAGCUGCUUUCUUUAGCUAUCCAAUUUUGUGUGCUCCUUCGUUUCUUUCCCUUUUUGUUUUAGCUACUAGGUCUCUCAUUUUCUUUUGCUCUUUUUUCCCCUGAUCUUUUUGCUUUUCGUUUCUUUCCGUCUCCCGUUGCUCUCGUCCUCACCCUCCCCAAAUCUAUUAUUCUUUAUUUUUUGUUCUCCUUUUAACAUCUCUGGUUUUCCCUUUUUGUUGUUUUCUCUGCCCAACCCUUUUCCGUUCCUCCCUCUCUUUUCUCCCCCCUACCCUC